AGGGAUGCAGUUCAGUGGUAGAGCACUUACCUAGAAUGCAAGAGGUUCCAGGUUCAAUCCCUAGCAUCACAA
rnacentral:tRNA from 1 species